UGGAGCUGAACUAAUCACUGAAAGAAACUAUAUUCAAGGAACAGAAAAUGAAAGUGGUGGGAGAGGGAAUUCCCCAGAGGAUGUCGGCACUAGGGAUAUGCAGCCAAUAAAUACCGAACCCAGGAUUGCUAUCUCACAUUAGANUUCUUCCUCCACCAUCAGCAACAGAACCCAGAACGCUCGAAGAUGCUCCGAAAAAGUCUAGUCCUGAUAGUUCUUUGUGCAGUUCUCAUACANGCCAUGCCAACCUCCAGGAGACAACGUUGCCUAUGCCGCAGUAAAGAACUGAUUGACUCUGUCAACAUUAGGAACGUUGCCAAAGUUGAAUUUCACCCGCCAAGCAGCAGCUGUGAUCAGGAAGAGCUUGUAGUAACUUUCAAAAGACGUGGGCACACACGAUGCCUCAACAUCAAUUCCCAGCAAGGAAGGACAAUUAAAGAGGCAAUCAUGAAGAAAAAGAAGUGAAGACUGCUAGCAAAGAGAGAAGAAAGGGUUCGAUACAGAAACAAGAAUUUCAUCAGAGAGAAGAANACACAGUGAUGUUCAAGUUGCCUUCUGCGAAGACUUGUCCAUCGUGACCAAGCAUCUGCUUGAGGACAUUCUGAAACUUUCUAAAGGACUUGGGUUCCUUGAACAACUGACCAAUGUUCACUGUUGAAAAAGUAGGCUUGGUUUUAUACAGUUGCUGAAAACGAGGCAAAUCAUCUUUGAUUAGUCUAUUUUCUGCCCUUUUAAUUUGGGUUUGGGAAUUCAUUUUCCUGCAAAGGGAAACAGAAAAUGGGAACAAAAGCGCGGGAGGGGGGAGACGAUCACUCUUGAAUAUAUGUUACUUUUUUUUACCUAUAUAUUUGUAAAUAAAUUCUGUGUUUUU
rnacentral:lncRNA from 1 species